CUGCUUCCGCCUAAAAAGAUAAUUGGGAAAAACUCAAGAAGCUUGGUGGAGAAGAGGGAGAAGGAUCUGGAGGUCUACCUCCAGAAACUCCUGGCUGCCUUCCCUGGCGUGACCCCCAGAGUGCUGGCCCACUUCUUGCAUUUUCACUUCUAUGAGAUAAAUGGCAUCACCGCGGCACUGGCUGAAGAGCUCUUUGAGAAAGGAGAACAGCUCCUGGGGGCCGGCGAGGUCUUUGCUAUUGGACCCCUGCAGCUGUAUGCCGUCACGGAGCAGCUGCAGCGGGGAAAGCCCACGUGCGCCAGUGGGGAUGCCAAGACCGACCUUGGGCACAUCCUGGACUUCACCUGUCGCCUUAAGUACCUUAAGGUUUCUGGCACAGAAGGACCUUUUGGGACCAGCAACAUUCAGGAGCAGCUCCUGCCGUUCGACCUAUCAAUAUUCAAGUCCCUGCAUCAGGUGGAGAUAAGUCACUGUGAUGCUAAGCACAUCAGAGGGCUGGUCGCAUCGAAGCCCACCUUAGCCACGCUGAGUGUCCGCUUCUCAGCAACCUCUAUGAAGGAAGUCCUUGUUCCUGAAGCCUCAGAAUUUGAUGAGUGGGAGCCUGAAGGCACAACCCUAGAAGGCCCUGUGACUGCCGUCAUCCCCACUUGGCAGGCAUUGACCACGCUUGACCUGAGCCACAACAGCAUCUCUGAGAUCGACGAGUCUGUGAAACUGAUCCCAAAGAUUGAGUUCCUGGACCUGAGUCACAAUGGAUUGCUGGUUGUGGACAAUCUGCAGGUAGUGCCUUUGGAGACCAGUGCUGCCCGCACACACUCCCAAGGCCCCGUUCUGAGAGUUCAGGAGACAGACACAGCCUUGGGAAUUGGCCAGGGGUUGUAAGGGCAGGGGUUGCUGUCUUCCCUUUAGGAUCCCAGCAAUGCACUGAGUGAUUGUUGCUCUAGUUCCAAAGAAUUAGGAAGCAUGAGUAAAUACAAACCAGGCAUGAUGAUGCACCUCCAUCCUGAAGGUGGACAGCCAUGUUUUCAACACCCACCCCAACUGUCUGCAGGGGUGCCACUGUGCUGUGGCAUGUGCGGCAGAGAAGAGGGACUUCCCUUCCUAAAAUAACUGUCAGAGUGACUUGCAGAACUGGGUAGUUUGGGUUGGAAGGCUCAUCCUGCCAUUAGUGUCAGGCUCCUAUCUUUGGAGACUUGACCUGAGCCACUUUACACUGUUCUCCACGCUGCUGCAGCACCUGUAUAACCUUGUGCAUCUGGACCUGUCCUACAACAAGCUCUCCUCCUUGGAAGGGCUUCACACCAAGCUGGGGAACAUCAAGACCUUAAACCUGGCAGGCAACCUCCUAGAGAGUCUGAGUGGCCUGCACAAGCUCUACUCACUGGUCAACCUGGAUCUCCGGGACAACAGGAUCGAACAGAUGGAGGAGGUCCGGAGCAUAGGCAGCCUCCCGUGUCUGGAGCACGUGUCUCUGCUGAAUAACCCUCUGAGCAUCAUCCCCGACUACCGGACCAAGGUGCUGGCUCAGUUCGGAGAGAGGGCCUCAGAGGUCUGUCUGGAUGACACAGUGACCACAGAGAAGGAGCUGGACACUGUGGAAGUGCUGAAAGCAAUUCAGAAAGCCAAGGAGGUCAAGUCCAAACUGAGCAACCCAGAGAAGAAGGGUGGUGAAGACUCCCGGCUCUCAGCUGCCCCCUGCAUCAGACCCAGCAGCUGUCCUCCCACUGUGGCUCCCGCAUCUGCCUCCCUGCCCCAGCCCAUCCUCUCCAACCAAGGCAUCCUCGGAGAUGAGUGAGUGAAGCAGGUCCCAUGAGCGUGUCUGCUGGCCCGGCCCCCACGGAAGAGGGGAGGGUGUGCCGUCCCGAGUGGAGCCGAGGCUCGGGACACGCAGGAAAGGACGCCGCCUGCCCGGGCUCCUGGAGACGCAGAACUUGGAAUCAUGUUCGUUCAGGAGGAGGCCCUGGCCAGCAGCCUCUCGUCCACCGACAGUCUGACUCCCAUGGACCAGCCCAUUGCCCAGGGAUGCUCUGAUUCCUUGGAGUCCAUCCCUGCAGGACAGGCAGCUUCCGAUGAUUUAAGGGACGUGCCAGGAGCUGUUGGUGGUGCAAGCCCAGAACAUGCCGAGCCGGAGGUCCAGGUGGUGCCGGGGUCUGGCCAGAUCAUCUUCCUGCCCUUCACUUGCAUUGGCUACACGGCCACCAAUCAGGACUUCAUCCAGCGCCUGAGCACACUGAUCCGGCAGGCCAUCGAGCGGCAGCUGCCUGCCUGGAUCGAGGCUGCCAACCAGCGGGAGGCGGGCCAGGGUGAACAGGGCGAGGAGGAGGAUGAGGAGGAGGAGGAAGAGGAGGACGUUGCUGAGAACCGCUACUUCGAAAUGGGGCCCCCAGACGUGGAGGAGGAGGAGGAAGGAGGCCAGGGGGAGGAAGAGGAGGAGGAGGAAGAGGAGGAUGAAGAGGCCGAGGAGGAGCGCCUGGCUCUGGAAUGGGCCCUGGGCGCGGACGAGGACUUCCUCCUGGAGCAUAUCCGCAUCCUCAAGGUGCUGUGGUGCUUCCUGAUCCAUGUGCAGGGCAGUAUCCGCCAGUUCGCUGCCUGCCUUGUGCUCACCGACUUCGGCAUCGCAGUCUUCGAGAUCCCACACCAGGAGUCUCGGGGCAGCAGCCAGCACAUCCUCUCCUCCCUGCGCUUUGUCUUCUGCUUCCCACAUGGCGACCUCACCGAGUUUGGCUUCCUCAUGCCGGAGCUGUGUCUGGUGCUCAAGGUACGGCACAGUGAGAACACACUCUUCAUCAUCUCGGACGCCGCCAACCUGCACGAGUUCCACGCGGACCUGCGCUCAUGCUUUGCACCCCAGCACAUGGCCAUGCUGUGUAGCCCCAUCCUCUACGGCAGCCACACCAGCCUGCAGGAGUUCCUGCGCCAGCUGCUCACCUUCUACAAGGUGGCUGGCGGCUGCCAGGAGCGUAGCCAGGGCUGCUUCCCCGUCUACCUGGUCUACAGUGACAAGCGCAUGGUGCAGACGGCCGCCGGGGACUACUCAGGCAACAUCGAGUGGGCCAGCUGCACGCUCUGUUCAGCCGUGCGGCGCUCCUGCUGCGCGCCCUCUGAGGCCGUCAAGUCCGCCGCCAUCCCCUACUGGCUGUUGCUCACGCCCCAGCAUCUCAACGUCAUCAAGGCCGACUUCAACCCCAUGCCCAACCGUGGCACCCACAACUGUCGCAACCGCAACAGCUUCAAGCUCAGCCGCGUGCCGCUCUCCACUGUGCUGCUGGACCCCACACGCAGCUGCACCCAGCCUCGGGGCGCCUUUGCUGAUGGCCACGUGCUAGAGCUGCUCGUGGGGUACCGUUUUGUCACUGCCAUCUUCGUGCUGCCCCACGAGAAGUUCCACUUCCUGCGCAUCUACAACCAGCUGCGGGCCUCGCUGCAGGACCUGAAGACUGUGGUCAUCGCCAAGACCCCUGGGACGGGAGGCAGCCCCCAGGGCCCCUUUGCGGAUGGCCAGCCUGCCGAGCGCAGGGCCAGCAAUGACCAGCGUCCCCAGGAGGUCCCAGCAGAGGCUCUGGCCCCAGCCCCAGCAGAAGUCCCAGCUCCAGCCCCUGCAGCAGCCUCAGCCUCAGGCCCAGCGAAGACUCCGGCCCCAGCAGAGGCCUCAACUUCAGCUUUGGUCCCAGAGGAGACCCCAGUGGAGGCUCCAGCCCCACCCCCAGCCGAGGCCCCUGCCCAGUACCCGAGUGAGCACCUCAUCCAGGCCACCUCGGAGGAGAAUCAGAUCCCCUCGCACUUGCCUGCCUGCCCGUCGCUCCGGCACGUCGCCAGCCUGCGGGGCAGCGCCAUCAUCGAGCUCUUCCACAGCAGCAUUGCUGAGAUUUCUGGCAUCAGAAAAACACCGACUACAACAACAGCCCUUUCCACAUCUCCCAGUGCUUCGUGCUAAAGCUUAGUGACCUGCAGUCAGUCAAUGUGGGGCUUUUCGACCAGCAUUUCCGGCUGACGGGUUCCACCCCGAUGCAGGUGGUCACGUGCUUGACGCGGGACAGCUACCUGACGCACUGCUUCCUCCAGCACCUCAUGGUCGUGCUGUCCUCUCUGGAACGCACGCCCUCGCCGGAGCCUGUUGACAAGGACUUCUACUCUGAGUUUGGGAACAAGACCACAGGGAAGAUGGAGAACUACGAGCUGAUCCACUCCAGUCGCGUCAAGUUCACCUACCCCAGUGAGGAGGAGAUUGGGGACCUGACGUUCACUGUGGCCCAAAAGAUGGCUGAGCCAGAGAAGGCCCCAGCCCUCAGCAUCUUGCUGUACGUGCAGGCCUUCCAGGUGGGCAUGCCACCCCCUGGGUGCUGCAGGGGCCCCCUGCGCCCCAAGACACUCCUGCUCACCAGCUCCGAGAUCUUCCUCCUGGAUGAGGACUGUGUCCACUACCCACUGCCCGAGUUUGCCAAAGAGCCGCCGCAGAGAGACAGGUACCGGCUGGACGACGGUCGCCGCGUCCGAGACCUGGACCGAGUGCUCAUGGGCUACCAGACCUACCCGCAGGCCCUCACCCUCGUCUUCGAUGAUGUGCAGGGUCAUGACCUCAUGGGCAGUGUCACCCUGGACCACUUUGGGGAGGUGCCAGGUGGCCCGGCUAGAGCCGGCCAGGGCCGUGAAGUCCAGUGGCAGGUGUUUGUCCCCAGUGCUGAGAGCAGAGAGAAGCUCAUCUCGCUGUUGGCUCGCCAGUGGGAGGCCCUGUGUGGGCGUGAGCUGCCUGUCGAGCUCACCGGCUAGCCCAGGCCACAGCCAGCCUGUCGUGUCCAGCCUGACGCCUACUGGGGCAGGGCAGCAGGCUUUUGUGUUCUCUAAAAAUGUUUUCUCCUCCCUUUGGUACCUUAAUUUGACUGUCCUCGCAGAGAAUGUGAACAUGUGUGUGUUGUGUUAAUUCUUUCUCAUGUUGGGAGUGAGAAUGCCGGGCCCCUCCAGGGCUGUUGGUGUGCUGUCAGCCUCCCGCAGGGGGUACAGCCGUGCACACCAGUGUCGUGUCUGCUGUUGUGGGACCGUUGUUAACACGUGACACCGUGGGUCUGACUUUCUCUUCUACACGUCCUUUCCUGAAGUGUCGAGUCCAGUCCUUUGUUGCUGUUGCUGUUGCUGUUGUUGUUGUUGUGGGCAUCUUGCUGCUAAUCCUGAGGCUGGUAGCAGAAUGCACAUUGGAAGCUCCCACCCCAUAUUGUUCUUCAAAGUGGAGGUCUCCCCUGAUCCAGACAAGUGGGAGAGCCCGUGGGGGCAGGGGACCUGGAGCUGCCAGCACCAAGCGUGAUUCCUGCUGCCUGUAUUCUCUAUUCCAAUAAAGCAGAGUUUGACACCGUC
rnacentral:sRNA from 1 species